UACGUAGGGGGCAAGCGUUGUCCGGAUUAUUGGGCGUAAAGAGCGUGUAGGCGGCCAGGUAGGUCGGUUGUGAAAACUGGAGGCUCAACCUUCAGAGGUCGACCGAAACCAUCUGGCUAGAGUCCGGGAGAGGAGAGUGGAAUUCCUGGUGUAGCGGUGAAAUGCGCAGAUAUCAGGAAGAGCACCCGUGGCGAAAGCGGCUCUCUGGAACGGUACUGACGCUGAGACGCGAAAGCGUGGGAGCGAACAGG
rnacentral:rRNA from 1 species